CGCACCUCCACCAUCACCUGCAAUGAACACUACUCCAUAUCAAAGCCUAUUUCUACGUUAAUAGCGAUAAAUGUGGCAAACUGCUUGCCCGCAUUCUCAACAAAAAGAGAAAUAAGUCGUAUAUAGCCUGCCUACGGGAUAUCCAAGGCCAACCACAGUGACCACCUGACAGAAUAGCCCAUGUGGCUCGUGGGUACAUUUCUCCACUGUGUUUGAAAAAACCCAUACCGGACUCCCACAGCAUGC